rnacentral:rRNA from 1 species
CUACGCACUCCUACGGGGAGGCAGCAGUGGGGAAUAUUGCACAAUGGGCGCAAGCCUGAUGCAGCCAUGCCGCGUGUAUGAAGAAGGCCUUCGGGUUGUAAAGUACUUUCAGCAGUGAGGAAGGUGGGUAUGUUAAUAGCAUAUUCAUUUGACGUUUAGCUGCAGAAGAAGCACCGGCUAACUCCGUGCCAGCAGCCGCGGUAAUACGGAGGGUGCGAGCGUUAAUCGGAAUUACUGGGCGUAAAGCGCAUGCAGGUGGUUUGUUAAGUCAGAUGUGAAAGCCCGGGGCUCAACCUCGGAAUUGCAUUUGAAACUGGCAAACUAGAGUACUGUAGAGGGGGUAGAAUUUCAGGUGUAGCGGUGAAAUGCGUAGAGAUCUGAAGGAAUACCGGUGGCGAAGGCGGCCCCCUGGACAGAUACUGACACUCAGAUGCGAAAGCGUGGGGAGCAAACAGGAUUAGAUACCCUGGUAA